rnacentral:rRNA from 1 species
AUACUAAGUUUCAACAACGGAUCUCUUGGCUCUCGCAUCGAUGAAGAACGCAGCGAAAUGCGAUAAGUAAUGUGAAUUGCAGAAUUCAGUGAAUCAUCGAAUCUUUGAACGCACC